UGGCAGCGGUCUAGAUAGCCUCAAUUCCCUUUUUAGAAGAAGAUUCCUCUAGUUUCCUCAUAAGGAGGUCCAUCUUGGCAGAGAGCAUGUCCACCCCAUUGAGGGCAUGGACACCUCUCUUCUUGGGCUAGAGGCGCUACUCAUUCCAUCCUUGGUUGAUGACCAUCUUUUCAAUGAGGUCCUUGGCAUCCUUGACAUUUUUCUACAAGAAUGCCCCUCCAGCUGAGGCAUCAUGGUGACUACGGGCC
rnacentral:lncRNA from 1 species